CCAGACUCCCACGGGAGGCAGCAGUGGGGAAUUUUGGACAAUGGGGGCAACCCUGAUCCAGCAAUGCCGCGUGAGUGAAGAAGGCCUUCGGGUUGUAAAGCUCUUUUGUCAGGGAAGAAACGGUAUGGGCUAAUAUCCCGUACUAAUGACGGUACCUGAAGAAUAAGCACCGGCUAACUACGUGCCAGCAGCCGCGGUAAUACGUAGGGUGCAAGCGUUAAUCGGAAUUACUGGGCGUAAAGCGUGCGCAGGCGGUUUUGUAAGUCUGUCGUGAAAUCCCCGGGCUCAACCUGGGAAUUGCGAUGGAGACUGCAAGGCUAGAAUCUGGCAGAGGGGGGUAGAAUUCCGCGUGUAGCAGUGAAAUGCGUAGAUAUGUGGAGGAACACCGAUGGCGAAGGCAGCCCCCUGGGAUAACACUGACGCUCAUGCACGAAAGCGUGGGGAGCAAACAGGAUUAGAUACCCUGGUAGUCCACGCCCUAAACGAUGUCUACUAGUUGUCGGGUCUUAAUUGACUUGGUAACGCAGCUAACGCGUGAAGUAGACCGCCUGGGGAGUACGGUCGCAAGAUUAAAACUCAAAGGAAUUGACGGAAGGGCGA
rnacentral:rRNA from 1 species